rnacentral:rRNA from 2 species
CGCUAAUACGUAGGUGACAAGCGUAUCCGGGAUUUAUUGGGCGUAAAGCGAGCGCAGGCGGUUUUUUUAAGUCUGAUGUGAAAGCCCUCGGCUUAACCGAGGAAGCGCAUCGGAAACUGGGAAACUUGAGUGCAGAAGAGGACAGUGGAACUCCAUGUGUAGCGGUGAAAUGCGUAGAUAUAUGGAAGAACACCAGUGGCGAAGGCGGCUGUCUGGUCUGUAACUGACGCUGAGGCUCGAAAGCAUGGGUAGCGAACAGGAUUAGAUACCCUGGUAGUCCAUGCCGUAAACGAUGAAUGCUAGGUGUUGGAGGGUUUCCGCCCUUCAGUGCCGCAGCUAACGCAUUAAGCAUUCCGCCUGGGGAGUACGACCGCAAGGUUGAAACUCAAAGGAAUUGACGGGGGCCCGCACAAGCGGUGGAGCAUGUGGUUUAAUUCGAAGCAACGCGAAGAACCUUACCAGGUCUUGACAUCUUUUGAUCACCUGAGAGAUCAGGUUUCCCCUUCGGGGGCAAAAUGACAGGUGGUGCAUGGUUGUCGUCAGCUCGUGUCGUGAGAUGUUGGGUUAAGUCCCGCAACGAGCGCAACCCUUAUGACUAGUUGCCAGCAUUUAGUUGGGCACUCUAGUAAGACUGCCGGUGACAAACCGGAGGAAGGUGGGGAUGACGUCAAAUCAUCAUGCCCCUUAUGACCUGGGCUACACACGUGCUACAAUGGAUGGUACAACGAGUUGCGAGACCGCGAGGUCAAGCUAAUCUCUUAAAGCCAUUCUCAGUUCGGACUGUAGGCUGCAACUCGCCUACACGAAGUCGGAAUCGCUAGUAAUCGCGGAUCAGCACGCCGCGGUGAAUACGUUCCCGGGCCUUGUACACACCGCCCGUCACACCAUGAGAGUUUGUAACACCCGAAGCCGGUGGCGUAACC